GCGGCAGCUACACAUGCAGUCGAGCGCACCUUCGGGUGAGCGGCGGACGGGUUAGUAACGCGUGGGAAUAUGCCCUUCACUACGGAAUAGCCUUUGGAAACGAAGAGUAAUACCGUAUACGCCCUUCGGGGGAAAGAUUUAUCGGUGAAGGAUUAGCCCGCGUCUGAUUAGAUAGUUGGUGGGGUAACGGCCUACCAAGUCGACGAUCAGUAGCUGGUUUGAGAGGAUGACCAGCAACACUGGGACUGAGACACGGCCCAGACUCCUACGGGAGGCAGCAGUGGGGAAUCUUAGACAAUGGGCGAAAGCCUGAUCUAGCCAUGCCGCGUGAGUGACGAAGGCCCUAGGGUCGUAAAGCUCUUUCGCCAGGGAUGAUAAUGACAGUACCUGGUAAAGAAACCCCGGCUAACUCCGUGCCAGCAGCCGCGGUAAUACGGAGGGGGUUAGCGUUGUUCGGAAUUACUGGGCGUAAAGCGUACGUAGGCGGAUUGGAAAGUUAGAGGUGAAAUCCCAGGGCUCAACCCUGGAACUGCCUUUAAAACUAUCAGUCUAGAGUUCGAGAGAGGUGAGUGGAAUUCCAAGUGUAGAGGUGAAAUUCGUAGAUAUUUGGAGGAACACCAGUGGCGAAGGCGGCUCACUGGCUCGAUACUGACGCUGAGGUGCGAAAGUGUGGGGAGCAAACAGGAUUAGAUACCCUGGUAGUCCACACCGUAAACGAUGAAUGCCAGACGUCGGG
rnacentral:rRNA from 1 species